GAUGAACGCUAGCGGCAGGCUUAACACAUGCAAGUCGAGGGGCAGCGGGGAGGAAGCUUGCUACUUAUGCCGGCGACCGGCGGACGGGUGCGUAACGCGUAUGUAACCUACCUUUGACAGGGGGAUAACAUCGAGAAAUUGGUACUAAUACCCCAUAACAUCACCGGAGGCAUCUUCGGUGGUUGAAAACUCAGGUGGUCAGAGAUGGACAUGCGUUGUAUUAGCUAGUUGGUGAGGUAACGGCUCACCAAGGCGACGAUACAUAGGGGGACUGAGAGGUCAACCCCCCACAUUGGUACUGAGACACGGACCAA
rnacentral:rRNA from 1 species